rnacentral:rRNA from 1 species
GACGAACGCUGGCGGCGUGCUUAACACAUGCAAGUCGAACGGAAAGGCCCUGCUUUUGUGGGGUGCUCGAGUGGCGAACGGGUGAGUAACACGUGAGUAACCUGCCCUUGACUUUGGGAUAACUUCAGGAAACUGGGGCUAAUACCGUAUAGGAGCUCCUGCUUCAUGGUGGGGGUUGGAAAGUUUCGGCGGUUGGGGAUGGACUCGCGGCUUAUCAGCUUGUUGGUGGGGUAGUGGCUUACCAAGGCUUUGACGGGUAGCCGGCCUGAGAGGGUGACCGGCCACAUUGGGACUGAGAUACGGCCCAGACUCCUACGGGAGGCAGCAGUGGGGAAUAUUGCACAAUGGGCGGAAGCCUGAUGCAGCAACGCCGCGUGCGGGAUGACGGCCUUCGGGUUGUAAACCGCUUUCGCCUGUGAUGAAGAGUGAGUGACGGUAAUGGGUAAAGAAGCACCGGCUAACUACGUG